AGAUGGGAGGGCGCACAGGCUCAGACCGUGGCUGAUUUCAAUAGAAAAACCCAACAGUGAAAGAGACGCAGCCUUGGCUACUCAUCCAGCACACGCUGCAUAACAUUAUGUCGACAUCACCUGUUGUUCCCGUCGACACACGGAUUGAAAAGCAAAUAUGAUGAAGCAAAACGCCUUCGAGCCAUAGAAGAAAAACAUACAUAUCUGUUUCCGACUGCGUCUAAGGGAAAUUAAAUGACAACCCCUUCAUCCUCUUCCUGCCUCGCCUGGGGGAAAAUGUUUAUCAUGUCGUCAUGUUGCCGUGAUUUGAGAAUGGGGGGAAAAAGGAGAAUUGACCUCACUUUAGAUCAGGAGCAGGGUCGCUGCAGAUUAUAUGUGUCAGAUAUCGGAGGUCUUUUGGGCUUUAUAACCUCCUGAGAGAAAACUUCGGUGCAGCAACAGGUGGCAUGUUUUUUUUUUCUUCCCGGGCCGGAAUCGAGGCGAGAUGCUGAGGAGGAGAUGGACGUGGCGGAAAGUAGGGCGUCAUUCAGCACCGAGACACUGGACAGCUCCCACGUCGAGGGCUACUCGUUUCUCUUGAGCUGCGAUCUGGACGGAAUAACAGCUUUAUUUGUCGCUUUUAUUGCUUAUUUUUUAAAUCAUGCUGACGUGUCUAGCGAAAAUUAACACAACCUAAUGAUCAGCAUUCAAAUGUCCCUGCUGUUUGAAAACUGAAUGGACGGUUUUUGAGUGGCAGAGGGCUUGAAUGCCAGCCUGCAAGAGCAGCAGCAAAUGAAGUAAUUUGUUUUUAAAUCAAUAAAUACUAUAUUAAAAUGA